rnacentral:rRNA from 1 species
CCUACGGGAGGCAGCAGUGGGGAAUAUUGGACAAUGGGGGGAACCCUGAUCCAGCCAUGCCGCGUGUGUGAAGAAGGCCCUCGGGUUGUAAAGCACUUUCAGUGAGGAAGAACGCCUGGUGGUUAAUACCCAUCAGGAAAGACAUCACUCACAGAAGAAGCACCGGCUAACUCCGUGCCAGCAGCCGCGGUAAUACGGAGGGUGCGAGCGUUAAUCGGAAUUACUGGGCGUAAAGCGCGCGUAGGUGGCUUGAUAAGCCGGUUGUGAAAGCCCCGGGCUCAACCUGGGAACGGCAUCCGGAACUGUCAAGCUAGAGUGCAGGGGAGGAAGGUAGAAUUCCCGGGGUAGCGGUGAAAUGCGUAGAGAUCGGGAGGAAUACCAGUGGCGAAGGCGGCCUUCUGGACUGACACUGACACUGAGGUGCGAAAGCGUGGGUAGCAAACAGGAUUAGAUACCCCUGUAGUC